rnacentral:rRNA from 1 species
AUUGAACGCUGGCGGCAGGCCUAACACAUGCAAGUCGAGCGGAUGAAGGGAGCUUGCUCCUGGAUUCAGCGGCGGACGGGUGAGUAAUGCCUAGGAAUCUGCCUGGUAGUGGGGGAUAACGUCCGGAAACGGGCGCUAAUACCGCAUACGUCCUGAGGGAGAAAGUGGGGGAUCUUCGGACCUCACGCUAUCAGAUGAGCCUAGGUCGGAUUAGCUAGUUGGUGGGGUAAAGGCCUACCAAGGCGACGAUCCGUAACUGGUCUGAGAGGAUGAUCAGUCACAGUGGAACUGAGAGGCGGUCCAGACUCCUACAGGAGGCAGAGGUGGGGAAUAUUGGACAAUGGGCGAAAGCCUGAUCCAGCCAUGCCGCGUGUGUGAAGAAGGUCUUCGGGUGGUAAAGCACUUUAAGUUGGGAAGAAGGGCAGUAAGUUAAAACCUUGCUGUUUUGACGUUACCAACAGAAUAAGCACCGGCUAACUUCGUG